CUCCUGUAAGUAUUUAUAAAACUUUGCAGCUUGGACCCCUCUCCACUGAUAAUGACGAAGGAUAAAAUACAAAUCCUGUCUCAGAAUACAAUUCCUCUCUCAAAAAAACAGAGGUGAAGUGGCAGAAAUAAAGGAAAUAAUAGUGCAAAGAGCUUUCUUCUGUGUAUGAGGAAUGGUUGGAGUGCAUGGUCACUGCACAUUUGGGAAAUGGAAUAAAAGAGAUGGUUUAGAGCUGCAGAUGCUGCUUGGACUGUAAUCACAAUAAGAGAAGGUUGGGAAUGAUGAACCUGGGCUUUCCAGUUUCGUGCUGCGUCUAGGAGAAUGUUAGAGUGGAAUUGCAAGACAAGAAACAAGGAAGCCUUGAAAAUAAACAGGCACCCCUCUCUCCUCUGACCCAGCACCUUCCACCUCCUCAGGUGAUGGUAAAUAAUUUGUUUCCUUUCUGAAAUGAGGACCUGCUUUCCUUGGUUGAUGCCUGCUCACAGCAGCGCGUCCGCUCUCAGCACUCAUGCGGCUUUUGAGCUGUGGAAGGGGAGAGGCAUGAAAAGCAAACCAUCUUAAAACUGGAGCUGUCUGGUUGCUGCUCAUGCUGUUGCAAUUGGUGCCAUGCAACACCAGUGAGGGCCCUGCGUUUCAGGGAUGUCAACAAGCAAAGGAGUGGUGUAUGAUGAUGAUUGUGAUGCUGGUUCAUAUAUGCAUGGAAGAAAAAAAUUUUGAAUUUUCUUCAAAUUUUUUUCUUUGUGGUUGACUCAAAUUCAAGCAUACAUUCUACAUCAGUUAGGAAACAGCUUGUGAGAAAAUUACGCUUGCUGUAGUGCAUGAAAAUGCUUCAUUUUUCUAAACAUCUUUCUUCAAUGUGAAGAACCAGAUUCAUGAAAGACCCAAAAUACACUGUUUUUCUAAGGGCAGAUGCAUGCAGUCACCUACAUUUAUCAUGACCUCCAAAUGCCUGUUAUAUCUCUGGGAAAUUUGAAAGAAAAAUGUCAGGCUUUUUGUUUGAGAAUUCCUGUGAAAAGUGAUAACUGAAGCAAUAGCUUGGGUAAAGCCUCAGACUAGUUGGGAUUGGUCUCAUCUGAACUGAUUUCUUUCUGGAACAAUUCUCUUUGCUGUGAAAAACAUUGUAAAGUAUAUUCUUUCUUAUUACUUUCUUAAGUAUUUUUCUUUCCUUGAAAGGACAUUUUUAUUGAAAGAGACUUUUUUUGUCUUUUAAAUGAAAAAUAUUCUGACCAAGUCAGCUAGGGUUAUAAAAGUGCCCAAAUACUAGCGAGUCUAAAUUUCUGCCCUCUGAUCUGGAGAAGUUACUGAAUGCAUAAUGUUGAAGAACAGCAAAAAGGGAAGAAGUAUUAUAAAAGAUAAUAGCAGUGACUUCUACUACCCACAUCCAAUCGAGAAAGAAGUUAUCUAAGGACAUUGUAGCACUCAUAGAAGCAGCUAAAAAGAAAGCAGGAAGAAAGAGAAAACAAAUUAUGAUUAAAUGGCGAAGUUCAAAAUGCUGUUUGAGGUAAGCAAGAUCCUCUGGAAAAUGGAGAGAGAGCAGGAAUGAAGCCAAAAGUAAAGAGUGCAAACUAUGAUAAGAAAAAGGAAGAUGAAAAUUCUGAAGAAUGGCAAUUAUUUGAUACUAAGGGUUAUUUAAAUAUGUGAGAUACUGUAAGCCCAUCUGUCCACAGGAUUUCAAGGAUGCAAGGAAAGCAAUUAAGGGGAACAGGGUUCUUCCAGAGAGUUUUGACAACUCCUUUGAUUGCCAGCGGGGUAGAUGGUACAGAGGAAUUCAGUGAAUUUGUGGAAGAGUCAAAUUAGUUACACAUUGGUCCUGUGCAACAGUGCACAAAAGCAUUGCCUUGCAAUGCCAGGCCGUCUGUGCGACCUACCUGGGGUUGUGGCUGGAAACACUUCUUCCAGAACUGGUGACAACCUGCAGGAUGGGGACUUGCGUGGAUGGGCUGAAUCCGUGGGAGCUGCCUCUGCUAUUUCCGAAAGCUUUUUUCACGCUGUUACCAGCCUCUGGUAGUUCAGCUCUACUGCUUGCCCUGUCUCUCUGGGGAGCAAAGCAGUCAGGACAGCACUGGCUAAUGAACGGAGCACAGCAGCAGGAGGUCUUCCACCCUGGUUUAUUCAUUGUGGCCCCAGGUUUUACUUAGCAAAACUCCCUCACUCACAAAACAAGUUUAAUGCUGUCUCUGAUACUGUGUAUGGCUACUGUACCUUGACUUUCAAUUACAUUAAAUCCUAUUAUAAUCACUUUCUUUAUAACAAAUCCUCUUUAACACCUGAAAAGCUCAGUUCCCAUGGGUGCAGUGCUGUGUUCUUGAAAUAAAAAACAGUGGAAUUCUAAUGGAAAUGCAUUAACUGGGAGAAUACUUUGAAAAUGUGCCUGGCAUGAAAGGCCUUCAGCACGCAGCUUACAUUCAAAUAGCAGAGGAGAAAAAAAAUUUCCAGUGCCUAGCACUUGUAUACCAGCUGCCUUAAGAUAGAGUGUCUGAAUCACUGUGUUAUCACAGUAAAACAUCUUGUAUGGAAAAUCAUCACUAUCCAAAGACAGGUCAAGUACAGGUUAUCUAAGUACUGUUAUUAUAGAACUGAAUGUUUUCCAUCAAAACAGGAGCAAGAAUUUGAAGAGAUUUACAGUGAUGGCCAAGAGACUCAGUGGCAUAGUUGAUAAACCAUGGAGCUUCUUUGUGAUUUUUUUUUAUUUGUUGUUGCUGCUUUUUUUUUCCUGGCUGGUAGAAAGGCACCAAAAGUAGUAUGCCACUAUUUGUUAACAGUUAUUUUCAGGGUUCUACCCUUCCUGGAAAAAUAAAAGAUUUUGUGCAUGAA